UACGGAGGGUGCAAGCGUUAUCCGGAUUCACUGGGUUUAAAGGGUGCGUAGGCGGGCUUGUAAGUCAGUGGUGAAAGCCCGGGGCUUAACUCCGGAACUGCCAUUGAUACUGCAAGUCUUGAGUACGGUUGAGGUGGGCGGAAUACAUCAUGUAGUGGUGAAAUACUUAGAUAUGAUGUAGAACACCGAUUGCGAAGGCAGCUCACUAAAGCGUAACUGACACUGAGGCACGAAAGUGUGGGGAUCAAAC
rnacentral:rRNA from 1 species